UGGUAGUCCACACAGUAAACGAUGAAUACUCGCUGUUUGCGAUACAAUGUAAGCGGCCAAGCGAAAGCAUUAAGUAUUCCACCUGGGGAGUACGCCGGCAACGGUGAAACUCAAAGGAAUUGACGGGGGCCCGCACAAGCGGAGGAACAUGUGGUUUAAUUCGAUGAUACGCGAGGAACUUUACCCGGGCUUAAAUUGCAAAUGAAUAUGUAGGAAACUAUAUAGCCGCAAGGCAUUUGUGAAGGUGCUGCAUGGUUGUCGUCAGCUCGUGCCGUGAGGUGUCGGCUUAAGUGCCAUAACGAGCGCAACCUUUAUCUACAGUUACUAACAGGUGAUGCUGAGGACUCUGUAGAGACUGCCGUCGUAAGAUGUGAGGAAGGUGGGGAUGACGUCAAAUCAGCACGGCCUUUACGUCCGGGGCUACACACGUGUUACAAUGGGGGGUACAGAAGGCCGCUACCUGGCGACAGGAUGCCAAUCCCGAAAACCUCUCUCAGUUCGGAUCGAAGUCUGCAACCCGACUUCGUGAAGCUGGAUUCGCUAGUAAUCGCGCAUCAGCCAUGGCGCGGUGAAUACGUUCCCGGGCCUUGUACAC
rnacentral:rRNA from 1 species